rnacentral:rRNA from 1 species
CCUACGGGCGGCUGCAGUAGGGAAUCUUCCACAAUGGACGAAAGUCUGAUGGAGCAACGCCGCGUGAGGGAAGAAGGGUUUCGGCUCGUAAAGCUCUGUUGGUAGUGAAGAAAGAUAGAGGUAGUAACUGGCCUUUAUUUGACGGUAAUUACUUAGAAAGUCACGGCUAACUACGUGCCAGCAGCCGCGGUAAUACGUAGGUGGCAAGCGUGGUCCGGAGUUAUUGGGCGUACAGCGAGUUCAGGCGGUUCAAUAAGUCUGAUGUGAAAGCCUUUGGCUCAACCGAGGAAUUGCAUCAGAAACUGUUGAACUUGAGUGCAGAAGAGGAAAGUGGAAGUCCAGGUGUAGCGGUAGAAUGCGUAGAUAUAUGGAAGAACACCAGUGGCGAAGGCGGCUCUCUGGUCUGCAACUGACGCUGAGGCUCGAAAGCAUGGGUAGCGAACAGGAUUAGAUACCCGUGUAGUC